UACAGAGGGGGCAAGCGUUAUUCGGAAUUAUUGGGCGUAAAGGGCGCGUAGGCGGUUCUUCAAGUCUCUCGUGAAAUCCCUCGGCUUAACUGAGGACGUGCGGGAGAUACUGAAGGGCUUGAGUCCGGAAGAGGGUGGUGGAAUUCCCAGUGUAGCGGUGAAAUGCGUAGAUAUUGGGAGGAACACCGGUGGCGAAGGCGGCCACCUGGGCCGGAACUGACGCUGAUGCGCGAAAGCUAGGGGAGCAAACAGG
rnacentral:rRNA from 1 species